rnacentral:rRNA from 1 species
ACACAUGCAGUCGAGGGGUAUAGUUCUUCGGACUAGAGACCGGCGCACGGGUGCGUAACGCGUAUGCAAUCUACCUUUUACAGAGGGAUAGCCCAGAGAAAUUUGGAUUAAUACCUCAUAGCAUUGCAGGAUGGCAUCAUCCAGCAAUUAAAGUCACAACGGUAAAAGAUGAGCAUGCGUCCCAUUAGCUAGUUGGUAAGGUAACGGCUUACCAAGGCUACGAUGGGUAGGGGUCCUGAGAGGGAGAUCCCCCACACUGGUACUGAGACACGGACCAGACUCCUACGGGAGGCAGCAGUGAGGAAUAUUGGACAAUGGGCGCAAGCCUGAUCCAGCCAUGCCGCGUGCAGGAUGACGGUCCUAUGGAUUGUAAACUGCUUUUAUACGAGAAGAAACACUACUUCGUGAAGUAGCUUGACGGUAUCGUAAGAAUAAGGAUCGGCUAACUCCGUGCCAGCAGCCGCGGUAAUACGGAGGAUCCAAGCGUUAUCCGGAAUCAUUGGGUUUAAAGGGUCCGUAGGCGGUUUAAUAAGUCAGUGGUGAAAGCCCAUCGCUCAACGGUGGAACGGCCAUUGAUACUGUUAAACUUGAAUUAUUAGGAAGUAACUAGAAUAUGUAGUGUAGCGGUGAAAUGCUUAGAGAUUACAUGGAAUACCAAUUGCGAAAGCAGGUUACUACUAAUUGAUCGACGCUGAUGGACGAAAGCGUGGGUAGCGAA